GAUAACAUUUGAAGUCAUCCCAAGCCUAACUCACUUUUCACCAUAACCAUCAUGAUUAUUCAAAGGGUCUAAAUUGGUAAAAAGGUCAGAGCAUAAAAAUUAAAAUACAUAAGAGUUUUGGUAGUUAAUUGUUCCUUUUUUAAAUAGCAAGAAACGUUCUGUCACCAUAGACUGAACUUGCUAUGAACCUUUUCGAUUAUUAGUAGCAGCUCAUGUGGAACCCCCAGCUCCAAGCGGGCAAGCCUGCAACUCGCAUUUUGGCUAUAUAAACAUAGCCAGAGACUGUUUUAGCUUAGACUAAAGCACUGUUUCCUAGUAUCAGGCAAGAGUUGCUUAAAAAGUAUACAUGGCCAUAUGGUUCGGAGGAUGAACAUAAACCCAAACUCAUUUUCAAAUAGAUCACAAAUCAGAUAGAAACCAUCAUCCCUCACAGUACUAUAAGGUUUAGAAGCAUGAAAAACAAGGUCAGGAAUCAUGAGCAUUAUUGCUUUAUAUGCAUGAAAUACAUAAAAAGAUGUUGUCAAAAAAUCCAAAACUGGAAGGGGUUUGACAGGGAAGUCUAUUAAAAGAUACUUACCCAAUCGAAGGUGAGAGAAGGUUAGGGGAUAUAAAAGAAAAUGGUUUCAACAGCCAAACUACACCCAAUUUAGCUCCAUCUUAAUUCUUAAUGAUGCCGGUCAAAAGUCAGUCACCUGGCAUUUCAAAAAUAACUAGCGGGAAAAAUCUAGAAACCGCCAUUCUAUCCUUCAUAAAUAAGGCUAAGAUGUCCAACUCAUAAGCACACACGGUUUUGUUGCUUAUCAAGGAUCCUAACUACAUAUUUCUUCUCUCGAAACCUUAGAUUAAAACAAUGAAGGGGAAAAAACAAGAAAAAGAAUGAAAGAAAAGCCAUGACUACACACCUUGAUUUCCUUUUACACGAAUAAUUUUCAUCAUAUAAAAAAUAUAUACAUUAUUGCUAUUGCUUGCACUUCCAUCAAAUACAGUACUAACAGCAGGUAACUAUCAAGCAAGGUAAAGAAUGCAGAAGUAACAGAGCAUUGGUAAAAGUUUUACUUACAAGAGUUAGCAAUAAAACACAUAGAGAACCACUAGAAUGGCACCUAGGAAGCACAAGCAGAUAUGUCAAUACGGAAAAAUCAAAAAAAAAGUAGGGUAUGGGUACGGUCCAAUCCAUCCAUCCUAUAUAUAUAUAAUUUUAUAAUUCGCACUAGUACAUGACAUGUAAUAAUUAAAAAUCAAAUGUAAAAAAUAAUUAAAGUAUUUUUGUAAUGGUCAAAAAGAAUUUCAAAUAAUUUUUGUAUUUUUUAUAAUUGUAAAAAUCUCCUCCAUGUUUAAAGUUUUUAAAAAUAAACACAAUACAAUUAUUCUAGUAUCCCAUUUUUAAAAAAAAAAUUACAUUUCUGCCCCAAAGUACCCACAAAAGUACCCGGUACGCUUACCCAUACUGGAUAAGUACUUGGUACUCGUACAACAAUAUUUUUGAAGUACCCAAGCUUUAUUUGUACACUAUACAUAAUUAAGGACAAAAUUCAAUUGUCUUUUGUUUCAAUGUAAAACAAUUUCUUGGAAUAUUUCUCGACAAAAUUACUCGUCCUCCAGUGUUUGAUUGGGAACCUCAAAAUGAGCCAAAAAAACAUGUUCCAAUGUUUGAUUGGCACAAAAAAUCACAAAUAUUUCAAAUUUUCAAAAAAAUAUAUUUUAAAAAAACACUAAGAAACACAAACAAUUCUAAGAAAACAUUAUAACUGUGUUGGACACUAACCCUCAUCAAACACUUCUCACGUGUUGGACACACGCCCAACUGGUCCUAUUAUUUCUUUUUAACUUUUUUUUUUUCCCCCAGUUUCAAACAAGUUUCAAUCACUCGGGGAACCCACGUGCCUAUUGUUUAGACACAUGAAGCACACUAAAAGUUUAAAGAAAAUAACUUCAAGUCCAAUGAUGACAAAAUAAUGUAGAUUUACAUACUAACUCCUAAUCAUUGUUUCCAAUUAGUGUUAUAUUGCAAUUUUAACAUCUUUAGAUGAAAUAUCAUAUCUAUGACAUAAUAAAUAUAUAAAACUACACAUUUAACAUGUAUUCCCUAUGUGUCUUAUGCUUAUCCAACAUUUUUUGAAGAAAUUUUUCAUGUCAACAUGUCCAUGUUGUCGUGUCGUAUUGUGUCACAUGUCUAUGCUUCAUAGUCAAAUUCCAUUCACCACAUGAAUAAUAUGUAGAGCAACAAGAAAAUCAACCUAAAAAAUUAUUUUCUUUCUAAAGAAACACAUUUACUAGUGGUGGUGGGGUAGUUGCGAUGAUGGUGGUUGGGCAAUGGCGGUUGGGUAGUGGUGGAAACGACAGUGGUAGUGGUGAUUGUGGCGGCAGCGAUGGUGGUUGUAUAGGCUUGAAAGUAACAUCAAUCACCAUUCACCAACAAUGACUUAAAUAGCUUCUCGAUCCUAAACAAGGCCAAUGAAUUCCACAAUUGAUCCAUAUCAAAUCUGAAAAGAGUGAAUGAAAAACAAAA